rnacentral:lncRNA from 1 species
UUCCUUCUAUGACAAGGACCCUGAUUCGACACGGCUGCCCAUGUUCCCAGCUCCAGGAGAUAAACGAAGUCAAACCUAAGCCACUCAUGACAAAUUUGUCUCCUGUGUAAUUGGUCUAGGCACAAGCACAUGACCCAUUUAUAGACAAUGAGACAGGCCCUUGUUGAAUUAGAACACUGCUGCUAAAAUUGAAAGCAUGGGAGAAAGCAAAAGCUGUUGGACCUCUUAUAGACGGUGACUGGAAUCAUCACAGUGACCCGUUACCACCUUCUCUUGUUCAAGGUAA